UACGGAGGGUGCAAGCGUUAUCCGGAUUCACUGGGUUUAAAGGGUGCGUAGGUGGCCCGGUCAGUCAGUGGUGAAAGCGCGGGGCUCAACUCCGCGUCGGCCAUUGAUACUGCGGGGCUGGAGCACUGUAGAGGCAGGCGGAAUUCCGGGUGUAGCGGUGGAAUGCGUAGAGAUCGGGAGGAACACCCGUAGCGAAGGCGGGUCUCUGGGCAACAACUGACGCUGAGGAGCGAAAGCGUGGGGAGCGAACAGG
rnacentral:rRNA from 1 species